ACUAGAUCUUCGUUUAGAUUGAGGCUGCCGUUCAAACACAUUAAUGUUGGUCCUUCGAGAUUCCCAUUCAAUCACAGUUCCAACUUGAGGUCUUUACCGCAUAAGAAGGCGACACAAACUUCGAGCAAAUCUUCAGAGCCCUGCAAAAACUUCUUUCAACAAACGCAAACUACAUUCAAUUGCUAUAUACACAGUGAAAAUGAUAAUUCAGUGAACCAAUCUUUAAGCCCUAUUGUGUUUGAAAAGAAUAUUAUGGAUAGUAGCAUAGCCACAG